rnacentral:lncRNA from 1 species
UUUUUCCUACAAUAAGUAGCAGGUUAAUUAGUUUAAUUUUCAUAUCAUAAUCAGAGAUUUACAUGAAUGCUCAGCACGUUCACUAUAACAUGUUCCUUUGAUCUCUUUUUCAUUUCUUCUUGCUCUUUUUAUUUUAUUUCUCCCUAUCUUUUGGUAUAAUCUCAUAAUCUACGUGUAUGUAUAUGAGUGUUAAUGGCUUUUAGUGUUGCUCACGUCUGUAUACUAUAAUGAUAGGCUAAGAGAAAUUCAAGGAGCCUCUCUCAUUCUUCACAACACAAGUAAACUGCAUUAACCAAAUCAAUUCAGAGAGAAAGAAAAAAAAAAGAAAAGAAUUUUCCAACUACUUUUUCAACUAACUUCUCUCUCUCUCACUCACUCACUUUUCAUCAAUCUUGAAUCCAAAAAAGCAGUUUUUUUUACAAUAUUUUUGAUCAAGAUCCCAAAAAAGUUGACAAAUCAAGAACCCCAUCCUCUUCAAACAAAAGGAUCAUUCUUUUUUCUUGUGUUUUUUCACUUGGUGAUCAUCAUUGCCUUUUUGUAAAUGCCAAUGUGAUCAUAUUGGUUAUACACAUUCUGCAUUUGAAUCAAGAAAAUCCAAGUUGAAUCAACGGUUGUGAUCUAGAGAAAUAUGCCAAGCAAGUUAAAGAAGGCAAUUGGUGCAGUAAAAGAUCAAACAAGCAUUAGCCUUGCAAAAGUUGCAAGCAAUACUUCCUCAACCCUUGAAGUGGCUGUACUCAAAGCCACAAGUCAUGAUGAUGUGCCUGUCGAUGAUCGAUAUGUUCAAGAAGUCAUCAAACUUGUCUCCUCCAACAAAAAGAAUAGGGUAUAAUGGCAUCUAUUUAAGUCAUGAUGAUGUGCCUGUCGAUGAUCGAUAUGUUCAAGAAGUCAUCAAACUUGUCUCCUCCAACAAAGCCUAUGCAGCUGCCUGUGCUCGUGCC